rnacentral:rRNA from 1 species
UACGGAGGGUGCAAGCGUUAUCCGGAUUUAUUGGGCUUAAAGGGUCCGUAGGCGGUUCUGUAAGUCAGUGGUGAAAUCUCACAGCUUAACUGUGAAACUGCCAUUGAUACUGCAGGUCUUGAGUGUUAUUGAAGUAGCUGGAAUAAGUAGUGUAGCGGUGAAAUGCAUAGAUAUUACUUAGAACACCAAUUGCGAAGGCAGGUUACUAAGCAACAACUGACGCUGAUGGACGAAAGCGUGGGGAGCGAACAGG